GUGAAUCAUCGAAUUUUUGAACGCAAAUUGCACUUUCUUCGGAGAGUAUGACUGUUUGAGGGUUAGCCUCAAAAUUUAGACGUAGUCGCUGUUUCGCGGAGUUAUUAGUCGGAAAUUGGGUCAUCUUAAACAAUAGGGUUUUUUAAGCGGCUUAAAAUUUUCUUUUUGAUCGCACUAUUGUUUCUAAGUAUUUUUUUUUUAUUCAUGUAUAG
rnacentral:misc_RNA from 1 species